UACAGAGGUCUCAAGCGUUGUUCGGAUUCAUUGGGCGUAAAGGGUGCGUAGGUGGCGCUGUAAGUCGGGUGUGAAAUUUCGGAGCUUAACUCCGAACUGCAUUCGAUACUGCGGUGCUUGAGGACUGGAGAGGAGACUGGAAUUCGAUGGUGUAGCAGUGAAAUGCGUAGAGAUCAUGAGGAAGACCAGUGGCGAAGGCGGGUCUCUGGACAGUUCCUGACACUGAGGCACGAAGGCCAGGGGAGCAAACGGG
rnacentral:rRNA from 1 species